rnacentral:rRNA from 1 species
CGAAGCAACGCGUAAGAACCUUACCAGAUCUUGACAUCCAAUUGACCAUCUUUUAAUCGAGAUUUUGCCUUCGGGUACAAUUGAGACAGGUGGUGCAUGGUUGUCGUCAGCUCGUGUCGUGAGAUGUUGGGUUAAGUCCCGCAACGAGCGCAACCCUUGUGUUUAGUUGCAAACAGGUAAUGCUGUGCACUCUAGACAGACUGCCGUGGACAACACGGAGGAAGUGGGAUGACGUCAAGUCCUCAUGGCCUUUAUGUCCAGGGCUACACACGUGCUACAAUGGGUGGUACAAAGAGCCGCGAACUCGCGAGAGCAAGCAAAUCUCAAAAAACCAUCCUCAGUUCGGAUUGGAGUCUGCAACUCGACUCCAUGAAGCUGGAAUCGCUAGUAAUCGCGGAUCAGCAUGCCGCGGUGAAUACGUUCCCGGGCCUU